AUGAAGAGGAGUGGGACUGAGUGAUGGGAGGAGGAGAGGAAGAAGGAGGGGGAGGAGGAGGAGGAGGGGGGGAAUGCUUGGCUGAUGACUUGGGGCAACACAAGCACGGUCAUGGGAAAACCCUGUGCUUUGAACCCGAUGCGUUUAUUACCGGUUGCUUUGCACCAGGUCCUCAUUAAGCAGCUGCUCAGGCUUGCAGCAGUCUCGCGUGCUGUGGAGUCCUCUGGUUGGCCACGCUCAGUCCCUGAUCAGCCACUUUGUGUCCAGAGGGAGCAGCAAAGCCCUUUUCCUCCCGAUAGCUUGUUUAAAGUAUCGAAGGGGAGCGUUGUGUGUAAAAAAUAAAGAAAAAGAAAACGUUCUCGUCUCCCCAACAAACGGUCGCUACACUACAAGGCAAACUUGCGAAUGAAACUCCCGCCUUGCUGAAGGAAAGUAUUGAAUUCCCAAAUUCAGAUUCCCAAAUCUUUACAGUUCAUAAUUAACAGCCUGUUAUAAAAUCCAGAGUAUUUCACCUGCGAUCUUGCAGACCCUUUGAUGAUUAAGUUAUUUUUGUUGAAUAAAAAGCCAAAAAUUAUUCUGGAUAUUAAAUCAUAUUGCUGAUAGAAACAUCUUCCUCAGCCACAAAUCUGUUGUAGUUCUAAAAGUAUAUUUGCUGUGAAGUUUUAAAUCCAAAACUAAAUUGUGUAGUUUUAUUUGACUAUUUUAUCUGAAGAAAACAUCAUGAUAAUUAGUACUUUUUUUUUGUAGAGCUUGACUUUCAAAGAGGCUUUUUUUAUUGCAGUGUGUGAAAAGGGGCGUAAUAAGGUGAGAUUGCUGGUACAUGCUGCCCAAAUCCAAUUCUGUGUACUGAUGUGAAACUGUUGAAGAGAUGGUUUGCAUUCUGGGUUUUGAUUGGUUGAUAUUAUUCAGGUUUCAUGCAUGUUUUCCAUUGGCCCAGUUUGUGUGUGUGUUGAAGGAUAUUUCCUGUAUUUGAGAGAUGUUUCUGAUGGCUUGCUGGAUGUGCGGGGGCAGGUAUCGGGCAUUUAGGGGUCUGUGGUCUCAGGCAAGGGCGUGUGCUCUAAGGACCUCCACAGCAGCUUGUACAACAGUGUUAUGUUUCGAGAGGCUGUACAUGAAUGUAUUCAUUCUAUUGCGUUUAUUAUGAUCAUAAAUCCUGAAUUCUCCGUAUUUUUUUGCCAGAACAUCUUACCUUGAACACAGUGGUCUCAGGUUGAUGCAGCAUAGGAAAUGGUUCAAACAAAAAAAAAUAUUAAACAUUUUUUGAAUAAUAGUUUUUUGAAUAAUAGUUGGGUAUAUCAUUUUUUAAAAUAAUAGUUGAGUGUAUACACGCACAACUUCUGGAGGCAUGAAAUCACUGUAUCUGCUACAUGGAAGUUGCUUGAAGAGUAUUUUCUUGCUUCACACCACAAACCCCUGUAUCCUAAAUAUAUGCCACUGUAAAGCUGUCUGGUCAUCAGAAACGUCUACAGAUUUCUAAAAUAUCCUUAAUGGCACACAGGAACUCUCUGAGCCAAUCAAAGUCAUGCACCAGCCCAUGAACUAUUCCUUUAAGUCUUGCGAUUUUAUGACCGGAAACUUAUCUCUUGGUUAAAUAACAAGAUCCAGCCGAAUCCCUAAUAAUUUUCUGUGUGAAUAAUCUGAAUCUGCUUAAAUGAAAUGUAAAUGAACGUUGGAUCUGCAAGUUUGUUCUCUAUAAAACUGCAAAAAUGGAAAGGACAUUGUACAUCCCAGUUGUGUGUCUGAUUUGUUCAUAUAGAUAGAAGGUACCUAUUAAGCCCAGUCCUGAAUUCCCAAACAUAUUUUGUAAUAUUUCUUAAUCAUGUAUGUGAAAUGUUUACAAAUGAAAGUUGCCCCAUUUGUUUUAAUAUUCUGGGAUUGAUCCUACAAAACAAAUGUUAUUUGUAAGUAUUGCAAAAAUCCCUCCUAAACUUUGAAAAUUGUAUUGCAAAGUGAUCAUGGAUGCGCAGAAAUGUAAAAAUGUAUUUGAACAGA